CUGAGUCCUGGAAGUGAUUGCAAAGUUGCACCUUGAUAUUACCCCAGUGAAACAGUGCCUCUGUCUAAGCUAUAGAGUCACAUGGACAUGGAACAGCUGUGUGUUUUUUUUGUUUUUUUUUUUAAAUGGACACUGAUGCAUUAGACUGAACCAUGGCUUUAGGAUUGGGGGGUGAGGGGGGAAGUGGCAGUGAAGGUCUGGGUUGAACCACUUCACGGCAUGAGCAGGAGGGACUCUUGAUAGCCCUGAUCAUUUGCCACAAUGAAGCUCAGCUGUAGCAAGGCCAGUGUUAACACAGACUGCAAAGCAGCCAGAGACCGUACCUUUGCAUUAUAUGUAUGAAACCACAAAGACUUAAAAAAGAAAAACACUCACUCGCUUUCUGUACACACUCUCAGACAUGUCACCCCACCACCACCACCACCACCACCACUACACCCACACGUACAGGAGAUACAGUAAAGGAUGACACCUUCAGGUGUGCACAUCACAUUCUGACUCAAGAUACAGGCCUGCACCUGCCUGAACAAAGGCUCGGCAGCCCCGGCCACACUGUCACCGCGAACAAUCAUGCAAACAGGUGCUUCCUGCUCGGGGGUCUCUGCCGUGAGCUCUCUGGGUUUCAUGACUGACAUAAGGAGGAUGUCUCUGACAAAGACAUGUCUCAUGAAGAUGUGCUCUUGACUCUUGACAUCACCUUGCUCUAGUGUCCAUUCAUCCAUCACAAUGGAGUGUGUGUGCCCUGCUCAGUAAGGAGCACAGCAGCACUUGCGGCACUCAGUUUGAGCAUGCAAUGACAAUGUUGGCCUGUGGAGGGCAGAGUUGUACCGUACUGCAGUAUGUGUGGGACUCCCAAGAUGGACUCGGUUUGGGAGGACAGGACAGGGAGGCCGCAUCUCCUGGGUGUAGCUGCAUUGUCUCUUCACACAGUCUGCUUGGGCGCUAGCGUGCAUCAAAGUGUACAGUUUGAAGCACAGAAGCGAGUUCUAUUGCCAUGGGGACCAGGCCAACGUUCUUCCCAUGUGCCCCUUCUGCUGUGCCUCCACCACGAGCAUCUCUCCAACCAGCUCAAGGCCACUCAGUCUGGACAAUCACAAGUCCCCAUCCACUGCACCGUGUCCGUGACCCUCUCCUCCUGGGCAUCCCAGCGAGAGGGAUGCCCUCCUCAGUUGUAGGCCAUGUGCUGUUGGGUCCAGCACGUCUCUUCUCAUCAGACCUUCUCUUUUGAGCCUGGCUUCUGUUUUGUUUCGUCCGCAGCUCAUCGUAGCUCAUCACACCAGGCAGACUGCCAUCCCAGUGUUGUUUGGUUGAUGGUUAGGAAGUCCGUAUUAGCUAAGUAAGGCGAGAGUGGACGGUUUCGCAGGGGAUGUUCAAUAUCGUGUGCCCUGAGCCACAGUAAUCGAGAAUCGGUCACCUGAAGGCACCCAAGAUGAAAGCAGUUCAACAGAUGGGUGUAAAAAAAGUGUAGCUGUUUUAUGAUUGUUUUGUUUAUUAUUAUUUAUUUUUACUUUUGUUUUUUUUCAUUUUGUUGUUUUAUUGUCUGUUUCUACACAGAUUAAGGUUGCACAUUAGCCUCGGUUCUAUCAUCCUCAGAUUUAACUUUUGCCAGUAUUUUAUUUGCAUUGUGCUAAAUUCCUCGAUACAGUCAAGCUCGUCUUGAUGAUUUUAUUUUAUUUUAUUUUAUUUAUUGAUUAACCUCUAAAAUUUAGAGUUUCUUUUUUUGAAUGUGUUUUUCAUAGAUAUCUUUAGGUUGCACAUGAAUGACCUAGACUAAGAGUACGGUUGUGUCCUGAAUCUCUUCACCUUGGGAGGGGAAAAAAACUCCUCAUGUGAAGGGAACUAAAAGGGGCUGUUGUGAUCAGUAAUCAGGGUGAAGCUUGUGUGGAGAGCUGCCAAAUUCCUAGAACGUGCCCAAAGCAUGACAUGGAUGAUUCCCAGCUCUCCUCCAUAUCCAUGCCAGGAGAUUUACGAGAGGAUUUACGAGAAGAUGGCCUCACCCACAGCCAAUGGUGUCUCUUCCUCAGGAACUCUACCCCGCCUCCCCCCACAUGUCCGCCACACCCCUCAGCUUGUCAGUAGCUGUCAGGCUACUCAUGAUGGACUGUACAGACAAGUUUGUAAAUACAAAACUAUUGCACAGGUACAGUACAGUUAGGGAAUCUUGUAACAUUGUCUGGAGCGAAGAUUAGGGCGUAUAUGGUCUCUCGCAGGCUUGGAGACGCAUAUUAAACACACAACCAGUCAUAGACAAGUAAAAAAAAAAGACAGCUUUCUAACCACCAUCCCCUCCCAUACAAAGACAGACAGACACACACACACACACACACACACACACACACACACACACACACACACACACACAAUCCUGUACUGAAUGGGGAAGAACUGUUGAAAGACUGGAGGAGCUCUGUUCAUGCAUACAGUAGGCUACUCUGUCUUAUGGGACACAACACAACUAAUGCUACACACAUUUAAAUAAAACAAUCAGUCCUUUUGUUUA